UUCCGAAAAGCCAGAAGAGAACUGAAACCCUGAAACUGCAAAAUACUGUUUCUCUUAGCUGAGGGGUCAGCGUGAAGCCAUCAUGAGCGAUGUUACAAUUGUGAAAGAAGGCUGGGUUCAGAAAAGGGGGGAAUAUAUUAAAAAUUGGAGGCCAAGGUACUUCCUCUUGAAGACAGAUGGCUCUUUCAUAGGAUAUAAGGAGAAGCCCCAAGACGUGGAUCUACCAUAUCCUCUUAACAACUUUUCAGUAGCAAAAUGCCAGCUAAUGAAAACAGAGAGACCAAAACCAAACACAUUUAUUAUCCGAUGUCUCCAGUGGACCACUGUGAUAGAAAGGACUUUUCACGUAGAUACACCAGAAGAACGGGAAGAAUGGACAGAAGCCAUUCAAGCAGUAGCAGACAGACUUCAAAGGCAGGAAGAGGAAAGAAUGAACUGUAGUCCAACGUCACAGAUUGAUAAUAUAGGCGAAGAGGAGAUGGAUGCAUCCACAACCCACCAUAAAAGAAAGACAAUGAAUGAUUUUGAUUACUUAAAACUCCUUGGCAAAGGCACUUUUGGCAAAGUUAUUCUGGUUCGAGAGAAAGCCAGUGGGAAAUACUAUGCUAUGAAGAUUCUGAAAAAAGAAGUUAUUAUUGCAAAGGAUGAAGUGGCUCACACACUUACAGAAAGCAGAGUAUUGAAAAACACUAGACACCCUUUUUUAACGUCUUUGAAAUAUUCCUUCCAGACCAAGGACCGUUUGUGCUUUGUAAUGGAGUAUGUCAAUGGAGGAGAGCUGUUUUUCCAUUUGUCGAGAGAGCGGGUGUUCUCUGAGGAUCGCACACGCUUCUAUGGUGCAGAAAUUGUUUCUGCUCUGGACUAUCUGCAUUCUGGGAAGAUUGUGUAUCGUGAUCUCAAGUUAGAGAAUCUAAUGUUGGAUAAAGAUGGACACAUAAAAAUUACAGAUUUUGGACUUUGCAAAGAAGGGAUCACAGAUGCAGCUACCAUGAAAACAUUCUGUGGAACACCAGAGUAUUUGGCUCCAGAGGUUUUGGAAGAUAAUGAUUACGGUCGUGCAGUGGACUGGUGGGGUCUUGGAGUUGUCAUGUAUGAAAUGAUGUGCGGCAGAUUGCCAUUCUACAACCAGGAUCAUGAAAAGCUUUUUGAACUAAUACUAAUGGAGGAUAUAAAAUUUCCUCGAACUCUCUCAUCUGAUGCAAAAUCAUUGCUUUCAGGUCUCCUAAUAAAAGAUCCAAAUAAACGACUUGGUGGAGGACCAGAUGAUGCUAAAGAAAUUAUGAGGCACAGUUUCUUUGUUGGAGUAAACUGGCAAGAUGUAUAUGAUAAAAAGGUGGUGCAGAAGUUCCAUGUGCUGGUUCCUCAUUUCUUGACGAGUUCUUCAGAAGCUGCUUGUCCCUCCCUUUAAACCUCAAGUGACUUCUGAGACAGACACCAGAUAUUUUGAUGAAGAGUUCACUGCUCAGACUAUUACAAUAACGCCACCUGAAAAAUAUGAUGAAGAUGGUAUGGACUGCAUGGACAAUGAAAGACGACCACAUUUCCCUCAGUUUUCCUAUUCUGCAAGUGGACGGGAGUAGCUUGUUGUUUCGUUCUUCUGGAUUCACAGUCAUAUUAGGGUUCUCACUGAAAAUGAGUACUGAACCUCAUCACCAGUACUUGCUAUUAUUUAGGAUAGCAAAGCACUUUCAGAAAUCAUUCCAAAAUUGAACCGAUUCCCUUUCUGCCCAAUCAGCCUCUUUUGAUUUAUCUGCAUGACAUUUUAUAUUGGUCUAAAGGUCCCCUGCUGUCGCUGCUGUCCACUGUCUCAGCAUGAGCGUAACGGCAAGAAGCAAUCCAAAAAUGUCGUGA